rnacentral:rRNA from 1 species
CCUACGGGAGGCAGCAGUGGGGAAUAUUGGGCAAUGGGCGCAAGCCUGACCCAGCAACGCCGCGUGAAGGAAGAAGGCUUUCGGGUUGUAAACUUCUUUUAUAAGGGAAUAAAGUGCCCCACGUGUGGGGUUUUGUAUGUACCUUAUGAAUAAGCAUCGGCUAAUUCCGUGCCAGCAGCCGCGGUAAUAUGGAAGAUGCGAGCGUUAUCCGGAUUUAUUGGGUUUAAAGGGAGCGUAGGCGGUUCCAUAAGUCAGCGGUAAAAUCGUGCGGCUCAACCGUACCGUGCCGUUGAAACUGUGGGACUUGAGUAUGCGCAGGGUACAUGGAAUUCGUGGUGUAGCGGUGAAAUGCUUAGAUAUCACGCAGAACUCCGAUUGCGAAGGCAGCAUACCGGCGCCCGACUGACGCUGAAGCACGAAAGCGUGGGUAUCGAACAGGAUUAGAUACCCUAGUAGUC